rnacentral:rRNA from 1 species
UACGAAGGGGGCUAGCGUUGCUCGGAAUCACUGGGCGUAAAGCGCACGUAGGCGGGUCCUUAAGUCAGGGGUGAAAUCCCGGAGCUCAACUCCGGAACUGCCUUUGAUACUGGGGAUCUUGAGUCCGGAAGAGGUGAGUGGAACUCCGAGUGUAGAGGUGAAAUUCUAGAUAUUCGGAAGAACACCAGUGGCGAAGGCGGCUCACUGGUCCGGUACUGACGCUGAGGUGCGAAAGCGUGGGGAGCAAACAGG